ACAUACCCAAGACGAGUCAAAGCUGAUACAGACAUACCCAAGACGAGUCAAAGCUGAUACAGACAUACCCAAGACGAGUCAAAGCUGAUACCGACAUACCCAAGACGAGUCAAAGCUGAUACAGACAUACCCAAGACGAGUCAAAGCUGAUACAGACAUACCCAAGACGAGUCAAAGCUGAUACAGACAUACCCAAGACGAGUCAAAGCUGAAAUCGCCGCCAAAUGUGCUUCUACAAUGUAUUGAAACAUGGGUGUGAAUGCCUAUGUAAAUGAGAUUUUCCUGUAUUUCAUUUUAAAUACAUUUGCUAAACUUUCUUCAAACAUGUUUUCACUGUUAUCAUGGGGUAUUGUGUGUAGAUGGGUGAGAUGUUUUAUUUAUUUAAUCCAUUUUGAAUGCAGGCUGUAACUCAACAAAAUGUGAAAUACGUCAAGGGGUAUGAAUACUUUUUGAAGGCACUGGCAGAGGGACAAAAGGCAGAGUGAGAACUACAUAAAGAGCUGCAUUUUAUUGAACAACCUAAAGAUGCUUAAAAUAAGCAGAUAACCACUAUUGUUAUUCAGUUAGAAUUCAAUUAGACUGAAAUCCUGACAUUAGAUGGUUGCCCAUAACCCAAAUAAUGUAUAUUGGUAAAUCAUCUAUUCACGGCAACAAUAAUAAAUUAUGUGCAAUAAUCUCAAGUUAGGACUCACCGCCCACCGUGUGAGGUCCAAUCAGCAACUUCCAUUGAUAUAUUAAACUGACCUGGGAGAAGCUAUCUGACAUCACAGCACUUACGGUGAUACUUUGAAAAAUAUGAAAUGCCUUGAACAUCCCGAGAUCGUGUGAUUUAAAACCAUACAUGUUAAAAACCAGAAAGAGAGAAAUAAAAGUUGGCACAUCAGUGUUAGUCUCAAACUAUUUUUGUUUUGUUUCAAUGCACAUACAAAUAUUGACUAGUUACAAAUACUUAGCUGUUAUUGGAUUAAAAGUUAGUAAGUGUACAUAGUCUUUUAUGUGAUUUCUUAUUGUGACUAUUUAGUGUAUACCAGGAAAUGAAAUGUUGUAAUGACUGCCCCAGUUAACACAUCAAAGAAUAUCCACACUGGGCACCAGUCAAACAUUUGAUUCAACUCAGUCUUACCAUGUCCCUAAUCACAGAAAUGUGAUAAUACUCCCAUUUUGCUCUCUGGCACACAACGUUAUUCAAUAAAUACUUCAUGUAUAAAAGACCUAGCCGGCCUCUAAAAUGCAAUCGUUUUAGUCAUUGAAAAAUAUAACAGUAUGAUAGAAAAUGUAUCUCAAUAUUCACAUAACUUAUACUUAAACUCAGUUGGACUUUAGAGUAAAUGUACUAGAUACCUCAAUGUCUUCAAUAUCUAUUUUCUGUCUUCAUAGGAAACCUUGAAUGAAUGACAUUUGUUUGAGCUCUUGUCUUAUUCAACAAGUGAGGGUGGAACAAAAACAAUUAGUCACCAAGAUUUACAGUUGAUUCUACCAAAUUCCCUUUAGGCCCCAAAAAACAUUGGAGAUAAACGUCUGUCUAAACUUCCGAGAUUGACAAAUAUUUGUAAGCAGUAAAAAACAAAAAGGUGAAAUGCUCAGAGUUGAAACUAUAUGGAGUCUACAUAGUAUGUUGAAAAUAACAUUUGUUGACCACUAUGUACCCAUAGAACCUCCUGUAGUAGGGUAACCAGAGAAAACCCAUCGACUGACAGCAUGGCCUUGACAUGUCUCUGACUGACACACUAUAUCUAUCUGCGUCCAUGGAGCUCAGUGUUCUAGCUGCAUACUGUAGCCGUAAGUGAAGAGUUUAGAGAACACUAGAUACAAAAUCUAGUAUCACAGACAAUACUACUGUGAUAGUGCAGCUUUUUAUUUAUUUAACCUUUAUUUAACUAGACAAGUCAGUGAAGAACAAAUUCUUAUUUUCAAUGACUGCAGAACGACAGAUUUGUACCUUGUCAGCUCGGGAUAUGAACUUUCAACCUUUCGAUUACUAGUCCAACGCUCUAACCACUAGGCUACCCUGCCGCUUAUAUCACUGUAUAACCAAAUUCAGGCGUUUAAUAAAUUAAAUGAUCAGUUACAAACUAAAAUACACCUUUUAAACAAAAUGCUAGUUUUUUUUUUACACUGCUUCUGUGUCAUAAUGUUAAAAUAAGUGAGUGAAAUGAAUACCUGAAACGUGUGGCUAAAUGAAACCAAAAGGUGAGAUGUGAUUGUGAGUAGUUUAUGGCCCUGUUUCUGACUGUAACAUUCACAAAGUCACUUAUUGAAUAGAGAUCCUGGUAUUGAAUAGAGAUCCUGGUAUUGAAUAGAGAUCCUGGUAUUGAAUAGAGAUCAUGGUUUUGAAUAGAGAUCAUGGUUUUGAAUAGAGAUCCUGGUUUUGAAUAGAGAUCCUGGUUUUGAAUAGAGAUCCUGGUAUUGCCAUUGAAACGCCUCCAACCUGAAUGUGUUUUUCCACUUCAAGUGCUGGAUGAGAAUCUCCAUUGCGAAGAAUCCAGAUAUCUCACACACGCGCACACACACAGUACAACUGGGUACCUUCUGUCAGUUUCUGAUUAUGAAUCAUCAUUCCAUUCCUCCUUUCAGUCAUCCUCCUCUUCAUCUUUCUUUCCUCCUGCUCCUCAUGUUAUCUGAGCUCUCUCUCUCCAUCUGUUUGGUUAACUUCUCCUCUCAUACUUCCCCAGCUUCUUGGGAUCCUUGCUGGGCAUGCACCAGUCAUCUGCCUCAUUGCUCGUCUGGUAAUGCCUUAUGGCUGACUGGUUGUAAACAGGAAGUCUUUCCACAGACUCUGAGGACAAGGCCUGUUAAUGGAGCACAGAGUGGAGUGGUAGGUU
ensembl:lncRNA